UUCUAUGGCGGCUGUGCGCAGGCAGACCUCGGUCUGGCCGGGUUACCUACGGUCCGGUUUUCCACCCUGUGUACAGCUGCCACCUUU
rnacentral:antisense_RNA from 1 species